AUUGAACGCUGGCGGCAUGCCUUACAUAUGCAAGUCGAACGGCAGCACGGGAGCAAUCCUGGUGGCGAGUGGCGAACGGGUGAGUAAAGUAUCGGAACGUGCCCAGUCGUGGGGGAUAACGUAGCGAAAGUUACGCUAAUACCGCAUACGAUCUAUGGAUGAAAGCGGGGGAUCGCAAGACCUCGCGCGAUUGGAGCGGCCGAUAUCAGAUUAGGUAGUUGGUGGGGUAAAGGCUCACCAAGCCGACGAUCUGUAGCUGGUCUGAGAGGGCGACCAGCCACACUGGGACUGAGACACGGCCCAGACUCCUACGGGAGGCAGAAGUGGGGAAUUUUGGACAAUGGGCGAAAGCCUGAUCCAGCCAUGCCGCGUGCAGGAUGAAGGCCUUCGGGUUGUAAACUGCUUUUGUACGGAACGAAAAGGUUUGGCCUAAUAAGCUGAGCUCAUGACGGUACCGUAAGAAUAAGCACUGGCUAACUACGUGCCAGCCGCCGCAGUAA
rnacentral:rRNA from 1 species